UUGCGGUGAGCCGAGAUCGUGCCAUUGCACUCCAGCCUGGGUAUCAAGAGCGAAACUCCGUCUCAAAAAAAAAAGAAAAAAGAAAAAAAAGAUUAAUGGUUUGAUAUGGGACCUAAGAGAUGGAACUGGAAAGAUAGGCAGAUCAUAAAGCCCUGUUUAUAUUAGACUCUCAAGAGUGUGGAGUUUAUAAGGAAUGAGAAGUUAAGGGUUUUAAGAUGGGAAAUAAUUUGUUGAGAUUACAUUGACAGCAAUGUGAUAGAUGGAUUAGAAAAAGGAGAUCAGGUAGAUCAGUUUGGAAACUGCUCCCACAAAAUAUUAGGAGGUUCUGAUCCAAGGUAGCGAUGAUAUGAUUAAGUGAAAUGGGGUGUGCAAAAGGCUAAGGUUGGAAAUAGAUAAUAGAUUUGGAUUUCAAGCCUGUUUUGUGGGACAGAUGGAUCUGUAGUGCAAAGGAGACGUCAAACCUGAAGAUAAUUAUAGAUAUGUGAUUAUUAAGGCUGUGAGAAGGGAUGACAGUAUUUAUGUUGAAUAGUAUUUAUGGUGAAUACAGUGGGUUUAUCAAAACAGAGGUCAAACCUAAAGAUAAUUUUAGAUACAUGAUUAUUAAGGCUAUGAGAAGGAAUGACAGUAUUUAUGGCGAAUAUGGUGGGUUUUUUAAGUGAGUUUAUACUCAAGAGUGUCAAGUGUUAUGUGAGAUUGGUUAGGUAAGUACUGAAAGUAGAUAAUUGGCUUUGGCAGUUAGGUUGUCUUGUGUCUGAAAGCCAUUAUUUGUAUAGUGGCAAAUGCUAGAUUUCUGGAGGCUGAGGAAUGGAAGUUAGGAAAUGCAAACAAUUAAAAUUCUUAUACCUUUACAAUUUGCUUUUUUUUCUUCAGUGUUUUCUUUUGUAGCACUUCUGACUGGUUUAUUAUUUGCUUUUUCCUUAUAAUGACAUUCUGUUAUUCUAUAGCAUUCUGUUGAAGAUGUAAUUAAAUUUUCUCAAUCUGUGAUGUCAGGUUGCUUUUUGAAGUAUAAAGGUUUAAGAAAUGCAUAACUACAUGGGAUUUUUAAUUGAUCUUCUCAAUCUUCAGUUGAUGUUUUUCCAUAUAUAAAUUGAAGAUAGAUUCAUUUUACAUUUGGUAUCAUGUUAAAAUGUUCCAAAAACCACCUACUGUAUAAUAGGUAUUAUAAUAUUGUUGAUCACCUUCAGGGUAUUAUUAUCCUGAAAUGUCUCCCAGUGGUCAAAGCUGAGACAGUUUGAGCAACAAAAUAAAUAUGAGAGUACUGGAUUAUAAUUAAAAAAUAAAGUCAAUAUCUAGGAAUCCAUGUUGAUAUAAAUAAAUGAUUGACUAAACAAAGACUUGGCAGGAAAGGAGCAAAGUUUUCUUACAGAAAAAUUUCAAAGAACCUACGCAGAUCACCCCUUUCAGGAGGUAGAACUUAAUUUCCCUCUUCUUGAAUAUGGGCUGGACUGACUGACUUAAAAGAACAGAGUAUGAAGAGGGAAAAACAGUAACUUUACAGUGUAAAGGCCUGACAGACAGCACCUUAACCAAGUUCAAGGUUAACUUCACCAAUGAUAAGGCAUGGUGAUAUCACGUACUCUCUGAUAGAAUGUGUUAAGUCUAACCAGAAAAAAUAAAUAAAAAGUAAUAAAGGACAUUCUACAAAUACCUGACCAGUGCUAAAAAGUAUCAUGUUAUCACCUGAAAAAACAAGGAAAGUCUGAGAAACCACAAAACAGAGAAGACUAAGGAGACAUAACUAAAUACAAUGUGAUAGCCCAGACUGACACUGGAAGGACAUGAGUGGAAAAAAAUUGGCGAAAUCUAAACAAAGUCUGGAAUUUUGUUAAUAGUAUUAUUCCAAUGUCGAUUUCUUGGUUGUGACAAAUGUACCGUAGUUAUGUAAGAUGUUAACAUUGGGGGAUAUUGGGUAAAGGAUAUAUGAGAAUUUUUGGUACUAUCUUUGUAACUUUCAUGUAAACCUAAAAUUAUUCCAGAAUAAAGAGGUUUUUUUAAUAAAGCAGAAUACAAAUUGUUAAGUAAAUCAUAUCUCAAACUGAUAAUUGUUGAAGGAAAAAAUAAAGAUUAUUUACUAUUUGUAUUGAGUGGAUUCAUCGUAAGUGUUGGUUGGGGGUAAAACAGGCAUAUUUGAUAAAUCAUGUUGAGAUAAAUUUCAGGAAAAAUAAAUGAAAUCGGAUUAGAGACACUAGCAUGUGUAGCCUCUAGCAAGAUAUUUAACCUUUCUUGUUUCAAAAAUGGGGAAUCAAACUGACUUAUCACUUUGAGCAUUUUUAAAGUAAACUAGUAUAUUCACUGUAAAACUAAAUCUUAUGAAGCCUUAAAAGGAAUAACAAUUCGAAUCGUUUUUAUAAAUUAGGUACAUGUGGUAGUUAGCUUAUUUUUCUAACAUAUACUGUUCUGUACUGUUAUAGGCUAACAGCUAUAAAGUCAGCUUGAUGUAAGUGAAAUUAUAGUAAAAUUGUACACUUAAAUAAGGCCAGGUUUCCUGGUUAUCAGUCCUGAUAGUGAUUCUAUUUAAUUUAUGUAUGUAUGUUAAGUAGACAUGAAAUGGGCCUUAGGAGCAAGAGUUUCUGACCUGGAAUGCCAGUUAUUCCAUCCCUAUUUUUCAGCAUAUAUGACUCAUGGCUGGCUACACAUGGCAGGACUUAGCACCUGAAUUCUAAAACUGGCAGAGCAGUAGAAUAGAGUAUUUUCAUUUAGCAUUUAUAGCUUUCAAGUCAUAGAAUAAGCAAACAAUGGGACAUUAUUGUAAAUGAUUUACUGCAUAUAAGUUAUAUAUAUUCUUUGAUGCAUUCGGUGAUGAUGAAUAUUUUGUCCUCAAAGAAUAAGUGAGGGUUAAAUAUAUAUGUAUAUAUUUUUGGAAAAAGAAUAUUCACUGUAAAAGCGUAUAGGUUGGAGCAAAGAAUACUGAGUUUUGUUUUCUCUUUAACUGAAGGGUAUAAGCAUUGUUCAGAAUAUACUAAUUUCAAGCAAUUUCCCUAGUGCUGUGUAUAAGACAGACCCAUGCAACUGUUAGAAGGAAUAAGUUCAAAUGUUCAAUAGCACGGUGGGGUUACUAUAGGUGACAGUACUAUAUUUUGUAUUUCAAAAAUUGCUAGAUGAGAGGACUUGAAAUGUUCCUGACACAUAGGAAUCAUAAAUAUGCAAGGUGAUGGAUACGGAAAUACUCUGACUUGAUCCUUUUUUUGUUUGUUUGUUUUUGUUUAUGUCUGACUUGAUGCUUAUACAUUCUAUGCAUGUAACAAAAUAUCACAUGUACCCCAUAAAUAUAUACUAUUAUUAUGUAUCAAUUUUAAAAAGAAAUUUAAAACAUAGAAAAAAGGUCUGUCUAUAAAUGAAGUGUGAACAUAUAGAGAUGAAAGGGGAAAAUUGAUUGUGGAUGUGGUUAGUACAGCUUAUGGGAAUUUCCAGAAGAAUUCCAUUUCAGUGAAUGAUGUGAUUUGGGCAUUAUGAAAAAUAGCGUAAUUAGAGAGAGAAAAACAGACUUUUUAGCUUCAAAAUCGCCAGCACAGGCUCUGAGUCAUGCUCUCUUAUAGUGCAUCUAGUGGCGUGUCAGAUAAAAUGUAUUGCUUUCUGUGAAUGUAUUUCCCACAAUUGAAAACAGCUGUUUUUAUUGUAGACCUAGCAUUUAUCUUAGCAUUCAGCUCCUUCACAAGAAGGUUCCAAAGCGGCUAUGUACUGUGAAGUAUACCAAAGGAAUCAGAACUUGAAUCUGGGAGCUCAAACUUGAUCAGAAGUUCUUGAAUAAUUUGGUAUAUUAUGUUCGUAUUCUUUUACUAUGAUAGCCAUUUUUAUUACAACCAAUUUUUGUUCAGUCAUUGUUUAACGCACAUUCCCAAAUAGCUUUGACUUAUGAAUAAUGAAAGACAAAGAAUCUUUUUUAAAACUAAACUUUCGUAACAUGAUUUAAUUUUGGUGGGAAGGAACAAUUUUAAUGUUAGAAAACUUUUAAAACAUAUUAUUUUAAAAUCAAUAAUACAUUAGAACUGACUACAUAGCAUUCUUCCAGACUUGCAUACUUAAUCUAUUUUUCCAUAAUUCACCCAAAGAUAUUUCUGGCAUUGCAGACAUCACAUAUUCCACUCAUAUAAAUGAUUUCUUCGUUACUUGUGUUUUUAGUGUUGAUCUUCAAACAGAGUGUGACCAAAAUUCAUGCUACAUUAAGUUAUAACAGCUUUAAUAGUGAACUUAAGAUAAAUAUAUGUUUUGUCCAACCAACUAUUGAUUUAAUUCACUAUAUUUUUUGCUGAUUUGUAUUUGGCACUAGGGAAAUUCCUUGUUUUUCUAGGCUAGGAUGCUCAGGGCUUCAAUUAGUACUUAGUUGAAUCUUCAUUCCCAUGAUUCUUUGGGAUGCCUCCACCACUAUAGACACAUUAUCAGUGGGAAUUUUCUCUAUUCUGAUAUCUUUGCCUGUUUUACUCUGUUUUCACACCCAGGCAUCUGUAAAAGUAGCAUUUCUUUUUUUUUUAUCUUUGAUUUGUUUUAGUUCCUGCAAUGGAAAUGUCAAUCAAGAUUUUUUUGGAAAGUCAAUUUGAGAAUAGAUUCUUGGUUUCUGCUCAUUUUGUGUUUAUUAUAAAGAUUUUCAUAAUCUUAUUUCUUUAUGAUCCAGUUGUGUUCUUUUUUUUCUUUUCAACUUUCUGACAAUUUGUAUCCCUGAUUUCAUCUUAAGGUUUUGCGUAAAAGUACUACCUUUCCCCUUUUGUUUAAACUGACAAAAAUGUUUCUCUGAAUACUGUCUUUAUAAGUUCAUCAAAUACUGGCCAAAUAAUAUCCAGAGAGUCUAUAAUUAAAACCACUUCCAAGGUUCCUUCACAUUUGCAAGUUUGGUUUUAAUUCUUAAUUCCGUUUGUAUUAUUCCAGUUUAUGAUAUUCUCUCUUUCUGUGUUUUUUCUUACCAAUAGUCUGCCUUGUUUAGAUGAGGGCCUUUAUUUCCAGCUGAAGAAAAAAUAUUUCCCUUAUUCAACUUAAAUUUCUCCUGAAAUCCAAUUUUAUUUAGAUAUAUAUAUUUUUUGCAGCUUGCCUGUAAUUUCUACUUCCUGCGUUUAAUGUGUGUAGAAUUUCUAAACCUAUUUCUGAAACUGUCAUCAUCUGAGUGAUGAGACACACACUAGUCGUUUACCCAGUAAUAUUGUGAACUGAGAAAUUCCUAUUUGUAGUCUUUAUUCACUUCUGAAGUACUUAUCCUGCUUUAUAGU